rnacentral:rRNA from 1 species
AGAGUUUGAUCAUGGCUCAGGACGAACGCUGGCGGCGUGCCUAACACAUGCAAGUCGAGCGAGGAAUGUCGGAUAGCUUGCUAUUUGAUAUUUCUAGCGGCGGACGGGUGAGUAACGCGUGAGUAACCUGCCUUUAUCAGGGGGAUAACGCAUCGAAAGAUGUGCUAAUACCGCGUAAGACCACAGCCUCACAUGGGGCAGGGGUCAAAGGAGCAAUCCGGAUAAAGAUGGGCUCGCGUCCGAUUAGCUAGUUGGUGAGAUAACAGCCCACCAAGGCGACGAUCGGUAGCCGACCUGAGGAGGUGAUCGGCCANAUUGGAACUGAGAGACGGUCCAGACUCCUACGGGAGCA